CCAAGCUGACCAAAAUUGAACCAACUUUCUCUGUGGGAUUAUCCACGAGAAAACUGAGUGGAUUUGUGAGACACACAGAGAGACAGACGGAGAGAGAAAACGCACAAGAGGUGGGACUCGGCGAGACAGGCAAAGGCAGCCGCGCUUCUGGCACACUGCCUGACAGACACAGAUACAGGGACGGGCUCACAGUCUCCUCCUGUUUGGAGAAUGAAAUUCGCCACCCUGUAAAGGAAGACAAGAAAAUCCAGACUCUCUACAAAGUAUCAUUCACAAAGUCCAGCGUGCAACAGAAAGUGACUAGACAUGUGAAGAAACAGAAAAAUGUGACCCGUAAAAGCAAAUGAGCAGGUUUCCAGUAAGCCAUCAGAUAGCAAGAAAAAGUCAUCACAAACCAGAUACUUAAUGCCUACUCAUGCAGCCAAGACUCCAGAGAUGAAGUCUUUGCCAAAGGUUAUGCAGCUCGUCACCCAUGUCCAGACCUCUUUGACUUCAAAGGCUGUGCUCCCUCUGCCACACCAGACUGCCUCCAGAAGAACCAAGAGGGGACACGCACCUGGGGAAGUUUCGAGGUCCCUGUGAACUCAUAACUGAGAGUAUUCGUGACAUAAGCCUGGCGUAAUUGGAGGAUGUCUGGGAAAACAAAAAUACAUUAACGAGAAGUAGCAGGU
rnacentral:lncRNA from 1 species